CAAAGCUAAUUUUUUACCUGGUAGAGGGAACAAAUCGGCCUUUGGUAUAUUGAUUUACCAUUUAGGGUGUUGGCUAUUAGAAUGGAGUUUAGGGUGACAUUACAUUAACUAGUAUUAACUUGGUGAUAGUUUUCAUGUUGAAAUUAACUAGUAUUAACUUGGUGAUAGUUUUCAUGUAUUGGGGUCAUUUUUAUUGCAUGUGCUAUAUUGUAUUUUUUCAUUUUAUUGGUAUAUUAUGUAUUGUAUUGAUGAACUAUGUCAAAACGUGGAAGGAACCACAUAUCAAUUUAAAAUUAUGUUAUUAAAUACAUGUAUGUUUUUUCCAGGUGUUCAGAAACGAUAUUGCUUUGUCUAGUCCUGUAUGUGAUGCAUACUAUAGUAUAAAGGGGCGCACUCGAUUAUUGGUGAAGAUUCUCCAACAGAUUC
rnacentral:lncRNA from 1 species